GAUCCUGGCUCAGAUUGAACGCUGGCGGAAUGCUUUACACAUGCAAGUCGAACGGUAGAGGGGGCAACCCCUCGAGAGUGGCGAACGGGUGAGUAAUAUAUCGGAACGUGCCCAGUCGUGGGGGAUAACGUAGCGAAAGUUACGCUAAUACCGCAUACGCACUGAGGUGGAAAGCAGGGGAUCGCAAGACCUUGCGCUAUACGAGCGGCCGAUGUCAGAUUAGCUAGUUGGUAGGGUAAAGGCCUACCAAGGCGACGAUCUGUAGCGGGUCUGAGAGGAUGAUCCGCCACACUGGGACUGAGACACGGCCCAGACUCCUACGGGAGGCAGCAGUGGGGAAUUUUGGACAAUGGGGGAAACCCUGAUCCAGCCAUGCCGCGUGAGUGAAGAAGGCCUUCGGGUUGUAAAGCUCUUUCGGCUGGGAAGAAAUCGCACAGGCUAAUACUCUGUGUGGAUGACGGUACCAGCACAAGAAGCACCGGCUAACUACGUG
rnacentral:rRNA from 1 species